UCACACUUUGCUGACUAUCAGAAUAUUUAUUGGCAAGAUGUCAUAUCUUACAAACUUUUAUUUAUUGGUAGCAUGUAGUCUAAUUUUGUCAACUAUACACAGUGGGUUUGCAUUGGAGAGCGGUCGUAGACGUGGUGGAGGUGGCGGAGUAACCACCGUUGCUCCUGGACCUGGGUGCGGUAUGAAUGCCAAACUCGUGGCCUUAAUUGAUGACAACACUGGAACAUAUACACUGGGAGAUAACUUUGACUGCACAUGUACGUCGGUCCCUAAAGGAAAUAAUGGUAAUGGUAAUGGCGGUACAUAAUGUUACCAACAAUCAUCAUGGAUAAUGCAGUCUAAUAAUCCCACAGACAUUCUUAACGAAUUAGUAGUUCUUGUCUGUGUUAUCUAUGUUACAUAAUCGAAUAUAUUAUAUUUGUAUAUACCAUAUUAUUAUUAAAAUGUAUCAAGCAUUAAA